GCACCAGUAGUCUAGAGCAAAAGCAGAAAUUGGUAUGACUUGAGCUUCCCAAGCUCAAGAUCCGGGUUCGAUUCCCGGCUGGUGCA
rnacentral:tRNA from 1 species